rnacentral:lncRNA from 1 species
UGUGUACUGGCUGCUAUGGUUGAUCUAAUCUAAAGGCAUUUGAAGACUUUUAACACCAAUUAAUUCAGAUAAUACAUAAUAAAACUUAUCAUUAUCUUUUAUCGACUGAUUUUUCAUCUACCUUUUUUAUACACAUGUCAAUUAAAGAUAUCCGUCAGCAUUAUACAUAAUGAAAAAGUAUGUCAAUAUAAUAAACACCACCAAAAAUCAACAACCAACUCCUUCGAGGAAAGGUACGUACAAAGACUAGCAGCUAAGAACAUAAAACUUUCUAACAACACUUACUUUUUAUAAGAUUUCAUCCCAUAUGGCUUGCAUAGAAUAUCUUUAUAUCCUGAGAUCAUCCCCAAUUUUAGUGGGGUUCAUGUUGCUAGUCUUAAGAUUUCUAUGUUGUGUCUUGUGUACUAUUAUUUGUCUGUUUGUCUUUUUCGUUUAAGUCGCGACGUUGUCAUUUUAUUUUUGAUCUAUGAGUGUGAAUGUCCCUGUGGUAUCCUUCGCCCCUUCCUAAUAUUUAUACAAUUAUUCUCCAGGGGACAGUAUUUCUAGUGGUGGGCAAAACUUAAUCAACAAUGGAAUGAAGUUUAGUACUUACGACAGAGAUAACGAUAAAAAUGUUACAGGUAACUGCGCAGAGGAAUACAAAGGAGCUUGGUGGUUCAAUGACUGCUACAUGUCACAUCUAAACGGAGAGUAUGAUCAAAACUUAGAACAUCCAUUCGGAAUACAAUGGGAAACAGUUUCCGGACCCCUAAGUUUCAGUAUCAUGGAAAUCAG